UGGGGAAUUUUGGACAAUGGGCGAAAGCCUGAUCCAGCAAUGCCGCGUGUGUGAAGAAGGCCUUCGGGUUGUAAAGCACUUUUGUCCGGAAAGAAAUCCUUGGCUCUAAUACAGUCGGGGGAUGACGGUACCGGAAGAAUAAGCACCGGCUAACUACGUGCCAGCAGCCGCGGUAAUACGUAGGGUGCAAGCGUUAAUCGGAAUUACUGGGCGUAAAGCGUGCGCAGGCGGUUUGCUAAGACCGAUGUGAAAUCCCCGGGCUCAACCUGGGAACUGCAUUGGUGACUGGCAGGCUAGAGUAUGGCAGAGGAGGGUAGAAUUCCACGUGUAGCAGUGAAAUGCGUAGAGAUGUGGAGGAAUACCGAUGGCGAAGGCAGCCCCCUGGGGCCAAAUACUGACGCUCAUGCACGAAAAGCGUGGGGAGCAAACAGGAUUAGAUACCCUGGUAGUCCACGCCCUAAACGAUGUCAACUAGUUGUUGGGGACUUCAUUUCCUUGUAACGUAGCUAACGCGUGAAGUUGACCG
rnacentral:rRNA from 1 species